CAAAAGAUAGUUUAGGGUAAAACAAUAGCUUUGGGAGCUGUAAAUCUGUUAAUAUACAACAGUCAUUUGA
rnacentral:tRNA from 1 species